CACAGAGAAAGAUGAAGAUAUACAAUACGAGAUUAAAUGCUUUCGCGGUCCCUGAUUAUGGAACUUCCAGUAGACGAUAAAAUCAUAACCAAUUGAGUCCAUCAUGAAUACGACAUAUUCCCACUACCUUCUGUAGUCAUAUUAUUAGCUCAAACUCUGAUCAGUGCUCUGCGUUUUUCAAAAGGUUUCUAUACUUCCGGCACUAAUCUCACAUUCUCAAUAUAUUCGGGUGUCUAGUUGGGCUUUCCACUACCAGAAAUAACUGUCAACGUACUCAGACUAUUUAUUCCUGGAGAGAGAGAGAGAGAGAGAGAGGUAGGUGGAGUGAUCUGAAGAGGUGCUGUUGGGGUCCUGAGAGACCCUUCAUUGUAUCCCUACAAUGUAGCAUGAAAAUCAGCAUUUGCUGUUAAGAUGAGAACCUUCUCUCU